GGCAGGCUUAACACAUGCAAGUCGAGCGGUAACAGGGGGAGCUUGCUCCCCGCUGACGAGCGGCGGACGGGUGAGUAAUGCAUAGGAAACUGCCCAGUAGUGGGGGAUAGCCCGGGGAAACCCGGAUUAAUACCGCAUACGCCCUUUGGGGGAAAGCAGGGGAUCUUCGGACCUUGCGCUAUUGGAUGUGCCUAUGUCGGAUUAGCUAGUUGGUGGGGUAAGAGCCUACCAAGGCGACGAUCCGUAGCUGGUCUGAGAGGAUGAUCAGCCACAUCGGGACUGAGACACGGCCCGAACUCCUACGGGAGGCAGCAGUGGGGAAUAUUGGACAAUGGGGGCAACCCUGAUCCAGCCAUGCCGCGUGUGUGAAGAAGGCUUUCGGGUUGUAAAGCACUUUCAGUGAGGAGGAAAACCUGACGACUAAUACUCGUGAGGCUUGACGUUACUCACAGAAGAAGCACCGGCUAACUCCGUGCCAGCAGCCGCGGUAAUACGGAGGGUGCAAGCGUUAAUCGGAAUUACUGGGCGUAAAGCGCGCGUAGGUGGUUUGAUAAGCGAGAUGUGAAAGCCCCGGGCUCAACCUGGGAACGGCAUUUCGAACUGUCAGGCUAGAGUAUGGUAGAGGAGUGUGGAAUUUCCUGUGUAGCGGUGAAAUGCGUAGAUAUAGGAAGGAACACCAGUGGCGAAGGCGGCACUCUGGACCAAUACUGA
rnacentral:rRNA from 1 species